GAUCUAAUGGUGAAGCAGUAUCGCGUCUCCUAAUUGUCAGUAUCAUCGUCACAUUCGCUGUGGAGAAGUCCCUGGUUCGAACCCAGGCUGGGUCA